UACGAAGGGGGCUAGCGUUGUUCGGAAUUACUGGGCGUAAAGCGCGCGCAGGUGGUCUUUCAAGUCAGUGGUGAAAGCCCGGAGCUCAACUCCGGAAAUGCCAUUGAAACUGUAAGACUUGAGGAUGAGAGAGGUGAGUGGAAUUCCCAGUGUAGAGGUGAAAUUCGUAGAUAUCGGGAGGAACACCAGUGGCGAAGGCGACUUCCUGGCCUGUUCUUGACGCUGAGGCGCGAAAGCUAGGGGAGCAAACGGG
rnacentral:rRNA from 1 species